GUAAUAGCUCACUGGUCGAGUCGGCCUGCGCGGAAGAUGUAACGGGGCUAAACCAUGCACCGAAGCUGCGGCAGCGACGCUUAUGCGUUGUUGGGUAGGGGAGCGUUCUGUAAGCCUGUGAAGGUGUGCUGUGAGGCAUGCUGGAGGUAUCAGAAGUGCGAAUGCUGACAUAAGUAACGAUAAAGCGGGUGAAAAGCCCGCUCGCCGGAAGAC
rnacentral:rRNA from 1 species